UACGGAGGAGGCAAGCGUUAUCCGGAAUUAUUGGGCGUAAAGCGUCCGCAGGUGGCACUUCAAGUCUGUCGUCAAAGACUGGGGCUUAACCCCGGAAAGGCGGUGGAAACUGAAGCGCUAGAGUGCGGUAGGGGUAGAGGGAAUUCCCGGUGUAGCGGUGAAAUGCGUAGAGAUCGGGAAGAACAUCGGUGGCGAAAGCGCUCUACUGGACCGCAACUGACGCUCAGGGACGAAAGCUAGGGGAGCGAAUGGG
rnacentral:rRNA from 1 species